UAGAAGUACGAGGACGCUUCCUUCGGGUAAGCGAGCGUACACAGGUGCUGCAUGGCUGUCGUUAGCUCGUGCCGUGAGGUGUUGGGUUAAGUCCCGCAACGAGCGCAACCCCUAUCUUUAGUUGCCAUCAGUUCGGCUGGGCACUCUAUGGAGACUGCCACCUAAAGUGGAGGAAGGUGGGGAUGACGUCAAGUCAGCAUGGCCCUUACGUCCGGGGCUACACACGUGCUACAAUGGCCGGUACAAAGGGUUGCGAAGCCGUGAGGUGGAGCGAAUCUCAAAAAGCCGGCCUCAGUUCGGAUUGGAGGCUGCAACUCGCCUCCAUGAAGUCGGAAUCGCUAGUAACCGCAGAUCAGCUACGUUGCGGUGAAUACGUUCCCGGGCCUU
rnacentral:rRNA from 1 species